rnacentral:rRNA from 1 species
UGGGGAAUAUUGCACAAUGGGCGCAAGCCUGAUGCAGCAACGCCGCGUGAACGAUGAAGGUCUUCGGAUCGUAAAGUUCUGUUGCAGGGGAAGAUAAUGACGGUACCCUGUGAGGAAGCCCCGGCUAACUACGUGCCAGCAGCCGCGGUAAUACGUAGGGGGCUAGCGUUAUCCGGAUUUACUGGGCGUAAAGGGCGUGUAGGCGGCUAGAUAAGUGUGAUGUUUAAAUCCAAGGCUUAACCUUGGGGUUCAUUACAAACUGUUUAGCUUGAGUGCUGGAGAGGAUAGUGGAAUUCCUAGUGUAGCGGUGAAAUGCGUAGAUAUUAGGAGGAAUACCGGUGGCGAAGGCGACUUUCUGGACUUUUACUGACGCUCAGGUACGAAAGCGUGGGGAGCAAACAGG